rnacentral:miRNA from 1 species
AGUGGGAAAAGGUGAGAUCUGU